AUUGAACGCUGGCGGCAUGCUUUACACAUGCAAGUCGAACGGUAACAGGCCUUCGGGUGCUGCCGAGUUGCGUAAGGGUGAGUAAUGCACCGUAACGUACCCAGAGGCGGGGGGUAACGCAGCGAAAGCUGUGCUAAUAUCUCAUGUGCUCUGAGGUAGAGCGCGGGGGUCCGCGCGGCAUUGUUUGGCCUCGUGCCUUGGUAGCGGCCUAUGUCGGCUUAGCUAGUUGGCGGGGUAGAGGCCUACCACGGCGACAAUCCGAAGCUGGUCUGACAGGGCGACCAGCGACAUUGGAACUGAGACACGGCCCAGACACUUGCGGGAGGCAGCGGUGGGGAAUUUUAGGCAAUGGGCGAAAGCCUAAUCCAGCAAUGCCGCGGGAGGGAAGAAGGCCUUCGGGUGGUAAACCGAUUUUGGCAGGAGCGAAGCAGUGUCCGCUAAUACCGGACGAUAAUGACGGUACCUGCAGAAUAAGCACCGGCUAACUACGUG
rnacentral:rRNA from 1 species